GCCGCAGCCAGGGGAAGGAUAUGCGGAGGGCUCUAAGUCAAAGCGGGCGUUUUUGCGGGUGUAGCCACUGCCGCGCCUGGGCCUGCAGCCCCUCCCUCCCUGUCUCCUGUUAGGAGGGGCAGAUUUUCAGGUGGCCGGGACAGGUGAAGGCAGAGAGGAGUGGCUGUCCACCUGGGGAAGAAAAUGACGCUGAAGCUGCGCUACUUCCAGGACACGCUUGUUUGCUGCACCUCCCAGCCUUCCCUACCUCUACUUUUCUGAAAAUUGAACUGCAAAUGAAGGAUGGUGGAGCCGACCACCAUUUAUACCUCUCUUUUAUCACCCCAUUUAGAACAUACCUCGGGCCAUCAGGAAGCUUUCAGAGCCAACUGUGGAGGGCGACUCAGGUGUAGGCUCUGGACACAGCCAGUUUCACGUGACGGCUGGGAUGCCCAGGGGCAAGAGCCCAGCCAGGCCUUCUGCAUGUUUUAAUGACUUACACUGGGGUGCAGUGGCAUUGGCAGUGGUCACUCUGCUUACCUGCCCUCCCUCUGGCUAGACCACUUUCUUCCAGAGAAAAGGGGCUCUAUGCACAUCGAUGGGGCCUUGGUUCCCAGCAAACAAAGGGCCUAGUCUUGUUAGAAUAACUUAAGAAAACUUACAGCACCUGGAAAAAACUGAAACUCUCUCUCCACCACCUGAGAUGGGGUAGAGAGGGAGAUCAGUACUGAUGUGUCCAUCAUGCAGUUUGCAAACCCAGGAUGGGGGAAAAAAAAAUCUGGGCCACGAGAUUCAGAGUUUUGCUUUAUUAGGCGUCUGUGAAGACAAGAGAGUUUGCAGACACAAUCCCGUCUGGUGGUGAACUGCUGCAAAGUUCUGUGAAGUUUGAAUUUAUCUUGUAGUGAACGAGACCCCAGUAGCUGAUAUUUUAGAAUACUGGUCCAUAUUUCAAGCAGAUGAGAGGUGUGACAUUAUGGCCAACAACUUUUAUAUUAGCCAUCCACUUAAGCCGUUUCCCAGCAUACAUAUGCAGCUUAAUCACAGCUAUACAUCUCUACAAUGUGAAAUUCGAUCUUUGACUAAUAAUGCAUUCUGACUCCUGUUUACAUUGGUGCAUGCGAUUCUUUGCUACCCUGGCAAUUAACCAGACCUGGACUCUAAAAGCUAAACUUGGUCUAAAUAACAUUCUAAGGGUAAGGCAACCUCUAUAAUCUGGACUCAGCCAUCAUUUUGCAAAAACAGUUGUAUGGUUCCUCCUUUUUCCCCUCCUGUCUGUAACUUGUCUGUUACUCAGCAUUUAUUCAUGCCUGCUGUGUACGGAAAGGGCAGUUACAAAGGAAAGCCUUGAUGAUUCUGCUUCCAAGAAACGUGAAGAUCAGAUAAUAUGCCAGGGACAAUUGAGUAAUGGGUCAAGACAACAGGCCUUGUAGAUAUUUUCUAAGGUUAGAAAAAUGUGUUCAAGUGUACUUAUCCAGUGAUCUUAUUCUAGAAUAUUCCAGUGGGGGUAGGGAAGGAGGGAUGGAUUUGGGGGUUUCAUUUAAGGACUCUGACAACUGGGGCUGCAGCUCUGUGGCCAGAAGAUAAAAUUAUCAUCCUCUCCAUCACCUAUCUGCCAACACUGCAGAUUUCUAUCUGCUCAUUUAAGAGAAACAGUACACAGGGAGAUAGCAUUAAUGCAAGGCAGGAAAGGCUUUACAUUAGCCCAAAAAAGAGGGGCUUGACCAUGUUACUCACACUUACACUUAGCCCAGCAGAAAAGCUGGGCUUAUGUACCACUUGGUUUCUUUCUUUGACCCUAGCAUCCCGAAAACAUCACACACAGUGGACCACGCUUUGCCCUCAGAGUGACUGCUCUGACCCGGAAGGAGAGGUCAACGACCCCUCAGGACACAAAGGGUUUCUUAGGUUGUUCUGCACAGUCACAUGGCUUCCAGAACCAGAACGUUCAGCUCUUAAAGUCUGCACAGAAGAACUGAUAGAAUCUGCUCCUUUCAAUGGAAUCUGUGACUGUUUGGGAAGGAUGUGCAUGGAGAAGGGCCUGAUGAGGCUCCUGAUCCAGGCGGUCCAUGUGCGUUCAGUGUGUUCGGACCCUAGGCACCUCUGUCUAUUGCUUGGUCUUGCGUACAUAGUCCAUAGCUUGGCAUCAGCACAAAUCGAUGCUUAGUGAGCACAAUUAAGAAACCAAACUAUGGAAAAUUAAGGACAGUAACAAAAGUAUCAUCAACAAAAAUCAAGCAUUUUCCUCUUUUUGAAACAAGAAAAGCGCAUCGUAGAAACAAAGAUUCUGUACAAUAUUCUAACAUUAUAUGUACAUAAAAUUAUAUUACUCAUAA